CUUGAGGACAGUCCACCCGGCCGGAUCAGUGGGACCAGUUCCACUACAGUGGGUCCCAGGAGGAGAGGAAGAGAGCCGUAUGGAAGCCAUGCUGUCCAGCUUGGACUGGCUUAUGUCCGGUCUGGACUGCUGACAUCUUUACAGAGAUCUGCUCCAUCAACAUCCUGGAUCAAGCUCUAGAUGGGCGAACUGCGUUUGGAGCCGACAGAGUGCAGGAUGAGAGAAGGUGGACUGCUUAAACGCAGUGAAAGUGGAUGGAUUUUAUGUGAAGAUGAAACCAUAUUAUCAUCACAAUCUUGUUGCUGUUGACAUUCAACCAGACACAAAAGAUGCACUGCAAAAUUAUUUCCUGUGUGUAUGUGUUAUAUAUAUAUAUAAAUAACUGUAUGUUGGUUUAUUUUAUUUUAUUUUAAUAAUUUUCUGUUAUUCUACAAUUAUAUUUUUCAAUGUGUGUAACAUGAAGUAAAUGUAAACUUUUCUUUUGUAAUAAAACCUUGUGCUGUAUAAUGAUUAAAAACCAGGCUACUUAACAUUCUAUUAUAAAAACUGAAAAUUAGGCCUAUAGUGUAAAAUAGUGCAUGAAAAAUGGUCUUUCAUAUAUAGUGUUUGUAUGUAUACAAACAGUGUACAUUAAAACUUGCAUGUUGGUGGCCAGAAGAAGUAAAACCAAGUUUGAUGAUUUUCAUGAAACAAAUUCAGAUCUAUUUGUGCCUUCACAACUUCAUGUCACUUGAACUUUGCUGACAGCUCAGACUAUGUGCUUUAACAGAUUCUGACCACUGAAGGGCAGUGCAGACUGACAAGUGCCAUCAAACCUUUGUAUUCCCCCUCCUUCUGCUGAGACACAAUCACACAUUGUAAUGCGAUCUGCUGACCCCCCCCUUCAGCCCAGGGCGAUGCAAUGUCAUGGUGGAGACUGGUUCAAGUGUGUUUGGACUGUGUGGGUGACUGGGACCAGACCCAAACACACAACUGUCUCUCUGGCAGAAAAGGGACAAGCUUUUGGUACACUGAAGCACCAAAGGGUUCAGGAAUACUUUAAGGCCAGUAUGAUUCAAACAAACUAAUUUGUAUGAAGUGUUGUGCCACCACAUCUAAAAGCAAAGUAUUUCUGCCUGUUAGGCUGGUUGAAAAGUUUGCCAAUAUAGCUGCUUUUGCGGUCUUGAUGUGACACAAAUGAGAAAGAAAAGUGUGUUUACAUGCACAUGAGUAUACUUGGUAGCUGGUAGCCAAACAGCUGAUGGAUGAGUAUAGCUGGGUCUUUCUCUGUCUAUAAAAGU
rnacentral:lncRNA from 1 species